AAAGUCCUUGCUGGGAAAGGUCUAGCCAACCACCCAUAUUGCGUGUUGCGCCGAAGCUGGAAACAGCAAGGUGAAGCGUACACAGAGAACCAUAUAGGCCAUAGGGAGAACCGUAACUCCUGAAGCACAUGUCCCCAGCCCCGUUAACAAGAUAAAUGCAGAUGGCGACGUGUUUAACGUCACGGAAGCCAACACAGAGGAAUCGACAAACGGCAAAAAAAAACCUAUUGGGCUUGGGCC
rfam:Dehalobacter sp. CF, complete genome.